AAUCCAUGGUGAGGACAUCUUCUUAUCAAAUCCUUAUACCUUUUCCAAGCCUCAUAUAGUGAUUUAGAAUUAAAUUGCAUGAAAGAAGUAACAUCAUUCCGCAUUUU
rfam:Theobroma cacao cultivar Matina 1-6 chromosome 10, whole genome shotgun sequence.